CCUACGGGAGGCUGCAGUGGGGAAUAUUGGACAAUGGGGGGAACCCUGAUCCAGCCAUGCCGCGUGUGUGAAGAAGGCCCUCGGGUUGUAAAGCACUUUCAGUGAGGAAGAACGCCUGGUGGUUAAUACCCAUCAGGAAAGACAUCACUCACAGAAGAGGCACCGGCUAACUCCGUGCCAGCAGCCGCGGUAAUACGGAGGGUGCGAGCGUUAAUCGGAAUUACUGGGCGUAAAGCGCGCGUAGGUGGCUUGAUAAGCCGGUUGUGAAAGCCCCGGGCUCAACCUGGGAACGGCAUCCGGAACUGUCAAGCUAGAGUGCAGGAGAGGAAGGUAGAAUUCCCGGUGUAGCGGUGAAAUGCGUAGAGAUCGGGAGGAAUACCAGUGGCGAAGGCGGCCUUCUGGACUGACACUGACACUGAGGUGCGAAAGCGUGGGUAGCAAACAGGAUUAGAUACCCCAGUAGUC
rnacentral:rRNA from 1 species